rnacentral:rRNA from 1 species
UGAGGUGGCUUUGGCGCGGAGGUUCCACCCCUUCCCAUUCCGAACAGGGCAGUUAAGCUCCGCCACGCCGAUGGUACUGCGCAAGC